rnacentral:misc_RNA from 1 species
GCGCUUUCAUCUGCAGAUAUCAUCCGAUGGUUCCGUUAAAGAUAAUCUUCGGACACAUGACUCAACUAUCGGUGCGCUCAAAAAAUCCCAUACAACUCUCUUAAUAUAUGAUCCUGUAACCACACUGUGGUCAUGGCAGUGCUAGUUUCGACUUCCACGAGCAGAGUGUUAUCUCUUUACCAACAAUCUUCUUCUUCGAUUUCAGACCAUAAAACCCCCAAAUUUGGCAUCUCCACGCGGACUCUUCAGCUCGGUAUCGGUCCUUUCUCUCCAUGGAGUGGCCUAAAGAAUCUGGGUAUCUCUAUCACUCCAAAAUCUCUGAAGAAUGAGAGGAAGAGUAGGGGUAAGGGUAGGGUGGUUCAAGCAUCUUUGUUUGGGGUUGGAGCUCCUGAGGCUCUGGUGAUUGGGGUGGUGGCUUUACUGGUUUUUGGUCCAAAAGGUCUUGCUGAGGUUGCACGCAAUCUAGGGAAAACUCUACGUGCAUUUCAACCAACCAUUAGAGAACUCCAGGAAGUAUCGAGGGAAUUCAAGAGCAGCCUUGAACGAGAGAUUGGUCUUGAUGACAUUUCAAGUCAAACACAAAACACAUAUAGCUCCAACAGAGCAAACACUGCCUCACCCCCUUCACCGGUUGGCAGCCCUGAAAAUUCUUCAACUGCAGCUGACCCCAAUGGUGCUCCAUCUCAAACUCGAGCAUAUACCAGUGAGGAUUACUUGAAAAUCACAGAAGAGCAGCUAAAAGCAUCUGCUGCACAACAGAUAGGGCAGACACCACCACCCCCACCAGGAGAAAGCCAGGUUGAAUCUCAAAGUCAAGCUACUGUUAAAAAAACUGCUGCUGCCACACCUCCGCCUCAAAAGCC